rnacentral:rRNA from 1 species
UACGUAGGGGGCAAGCGUUGUCCGGAUUUAUUGGGCGUAAAGAGCGUGUAGGCGGCCAAACAGGUCCACUGUGAAAACUCGAGGCUCAACCUCGAGAGGUCGGUGGAAACCGUCUGGCUAGAGUCCGGAAGAGGAGAGUGGAAUUCAUGGUGUAGCAGUGAAAUGCGUAGAGAUCAUGAGGAAGACCAGUGGCGAAGGCGGGUCUCUGGACAGUUCCUGACACUGAGGCACGAAGGCCAGGGGAGCAAACGGG